rnacentral:rRNA from 1 species
UACGUAGGGGGCAAGCGUUGUCCGGAUUUAUUGGGCGUAAAGAGCGUGUAGGCGGUUUGGUAGGUCCGCUGUGAAAACUCGAGGCUCAACCUCGAGACGCCGGUGGAAAUCAUCAGACUAGAGUCCGGAAGAGGAGAGCGGAAUUCCUGGUGUAGCGGUGAAAUGCGCAGAUAUCAGGAAGAACACCCGUGGCUAAGGCGGCUCUCUAGUACGGUACUGACGCUGAGACGCGAAAGCGUGGGGAGCGAACAGG